rnacentral:rRNA from 1 species
UGCCUACGGGUGGCUGCAGUCGAGGAUCUUCGGCAAUGGGCGCAAGCCUGACCGAGCGAGGCCGCGUGGGCGAUGAAGGCCUUCGGGUUGUAAAGCCCUGUCGAGGGGGAGAAAAGGCAACUUGAUCUAUCCCUGGAGGAAGCACGGGCUAAGUUCGUGCCAGCAGCCGCGGUAAGACGAACCGUGCGAACGUUAUUCGGAAUCACUGGGCUUAAAGGGCGCGUAGGCGGGCUACCAAGUCCGGGGUGAAAUCCUCCAGGUCAACUGGAGAACUGCCUCGGAUACUGGAAGUCUCGAGGGAGAUAGGGGCACGCGGAACCGUGGGUGGAGCGGUGAAAUGCGUUGAUAUCCAUGGGAACUCCGGUGGCGAAGGCGGCGUGCUGGAUCUCUUCUGACGCUGAGGCGCGAAAGCCAGGGGAUCAAACGGGAUUAGAUACCCGAGUAGUCG